CGUCGGUGCCUUCCUUGUCAUUCGUAGAGAGAAAAAAAGGAGACGACGAUUGUUUCCUUUCCAUCUUUCUAUAUUCUCUCGGUUAAUCCAUUAUUCAGAGAUUCUCUCUCUCCCAUCUUCAUCAUAGGAUCCCUGAUUUUCACGGGAUCGAUCCGGACUGAAUCUGUAUUUCUCAGAUUAAUCGGCUACAAUGGACGAGUUCGGUGUCCUUACGGAGCGUUAUGGGAUCAAGCCCCAAGGCAAAUCUGCUCCAAUGGCUGCCUCCAAGCGUUCUCACAGCACUCCCAAUCCUCAGACCUGGAAAUCGUACGCUUCUUCUUCCAAUAAGGUAUCUGGUAACGGAUCUUCGUAUAACGGUGACGACAUUUUCUUCACCUCGAGCUCGAGUACUACCAUGAACGGCGCGAGUUCUGGUGGAUUCGAUGUUUUCGGUGGGAUGAACAAUAAGAAUAGCAAGUCAGCGCAUGGUUUUCAUGCUGAUGACUUGUUUGGUGCUCCCAAUAGCGUUGGAAAUGAUGAUGUAUUUGGAUCAUUCUCUUCCUCUACGAAGCAAUACGCUCCGGUUGAUGAUCUGCUGGGUGAUAUGGCUGGAUUUGGUCUUGAAUCCAAGGGCUUGAACCUGAACAAUUCAGCCCGUUUUGGAAAGAAUGGUUUUGAUGAAUUGAUACCUGGUUUUGGUGCUACUUCUCACGCCACUAGAAGGUUUGUGAUCACUCUUUUGGAAUGAUCACCUUUGGAGAUUAAAUCAUUUUUUUUGUUUGUUGAUUGUUUCAGCAAGACUACGGCAUCGAACUUUGUUGAUGCUGACCCUUUUGUGGUUCUGGAAUCAACUAUGUCCCGCGCACAUUCUUCUUCCGGUAUGUUCGUGGAUCCACUAGAUGCGUUUGCUGCUUCAGUCAGCUCUCAGGGGCACAAACCAUCUUAUAAUGCUUCUACAAAACUCAAGCCUCCUCCUAAACCAACGCAAAAAGUUAACAGAGGUUAGUAGUAGUCUCUUUGAUGAUCCGGAAACUAUCUUGAAUUGGAGCUUUUUCGCGUAUUGUUUUCUUUGGUAUCUAAUUAUUUCCACAGCUAAGAGUUCAGUAGACGAACUUGACCACUUUGCCAUGGGUACCAUGCGCCGUAGUGCCUCGGCCUCUGACGCUGCUAGUAAAUGUAGAGAAGCUGAGGAGACGAAACAGUUUGGUGUUGAUGACCUUGACUCCUUUUUCAGCUCUGGGCCUCGCUCCAGCAGUGUGCCAAAAUCACGGACAGCAACUCAAGUAAGAACGAACGACCUUUGAAAUGUUUCUAUAUUCCACUUUACAAGUUUUUCGAUUAAAGAAAAUGUGGUCUACAUGUGUCUCCUUAUUCUUUCUUUCUGAUGCAAAGGCACCUCGCAAGCCAGCUGUCAACGUGCCAAAAAAGACGGCUAAUGGGGUUUCUAGUGCAAAGAAGCCUCCUGCUCCCGCAAAUCUGGUGGAUGACUUUUCUGCGCUUUUUGGAGAUAUGUCUUGUGAAAACAUGUCCUUUUCCAUCAAAUGGUUACUCUGGUCUAACUUUCUUAUAAAUGUUUUCUCUGUUUACAGAGGAUCCUUUAUUUAAAGAAUUUGAGGAAAUCCCAGGGGAGACCGAAGAACGAAGAAAGGCCAGAUGGGAUCGUGAACAGAGAACAAAGAGCCGUGUGGUAUGUGUCAUUUUUAUUUUCUUUUGAAUCUUCUUGUGCAAUCUUUACUCUUUUCUGCCUAUGAUGAUAUCUAAUUAAGUUAAAUACUGGUACUAAAACCUAUGUUGAAUUUUAUUUGUGCUUGAAAUUACCCCUUCUCGUUUAAAAGAUUGGGUUAAGUUCCUCGGAGAAUGUGUUGAAUCAUUUGAAAGUUUUUGCUUAUUUUAUUUGUGCUUGAUAUUAUUGUGAAUUCUGCAACGAAAUUAUACGUUCGAUUUUGCUAUAUGCUCAUCAAUGUUUAGCUUGUACUUGAUCGAAUAGUUUUGUUAUAGAUGGUUUUACACUAUUCAGUGGCUUUGAAAAUGUAGGCACAAGCUGUAGCUGAUAUGAACAACCGUGAUCAUCAAUCUCGGAUUGAACAAGAACAGAGAACUGUAAGUUAUGCUUUUCUUGACAUUUAUGUCUUAGUCUUCCUUAUCAUAAUGCUUGUCUAUGUACAUUGACCUUUUUGGAUUUAUCAGUCUUCAUUAUGACAAUGCUGUCUGUCUAUGAGCAAUGACAUUUUGGAUUUGUUAAUCUUCACUAAGAUAAUGCUGCUUUUGAAAUAUUUUACAUUUCCUUUUCUUUUCUAAAUCUACUUAGAGUCUCUUUGUUCGUGUGUUUAAAUACCAUUACCAAAUACCAACGUUGGUUUCCUUGUUAAACUUGCUUUUCAGAGAAUUUCUGAGACUGCUGAUGCUGAGAUAAAGCGUUGGGCAACUGGAAAAGAAGGAAACAUGCGUGCCCUGUUAUCUUCCUUGCAAAUCGUGAGUUUUAAAAAAAAAUUAAGUUAUAAAUAAAUGUAUUGCUACAGCUGUUUAUUCUUUUGGUCCUCCAAAUUUCACUGAGUUCUGGUUUUGGCUGGUGACAGGUACUCUGGCCUGGAUGUGGUUGGGAGGCUGUUUCGCUAACAGAUUUGAUCACUUCUUCAGCAGUCAAGAAAGUCUAUAGAAAGGCAACGCUGUAUGUCCAUCCCGAUAAAGUUCAGCAGAAAGGAGCCACCCUUGAACAGAAGUAUAUUGCCGAAAAGGUUUUCGACAUUUUGAAGGUAUUUUCUCACUAGAUCUGCACGAGCAGCUCUCUUUCUAGAGUCUAUUGUAUACAAAAGUUGACAGAAGCUUAGUAGCUGGACCACUCUCUCUGUUAGUAAUUUGAAGGAAUCUUGGUUUCUUGUAUCUUGCAAAGAUCCACAAAGCUUACACUCAGCUUUAAGCAAAUUGCCUUAUAGCAGAGUGUUUGAAUGAUGUUGCUGCUUAACUUCAUAAAAAUGUGCAAUGAACAGGAAGCUUGGAACAAGUUCAACAAAGAGGAGCUCUCGUAAGCCCAUAUAUGUUUCGGAUCUAGUUUCCCCCAGAGUUCUUCGUUUCAGGUUUGAGAACAGUUUCCUUCCAGUUGAGCUUGAAUCAGGACAGAGUACGUCUAGCAAUGGUUGAGUAAGAGGUAGAGACACUUAACGAGACUUGGUAACUGCUUUUUUGUGUCUCUAUGUAUCUUUACCCAAAAUCGUCUGCGAGUCUCCUUGAGUCUUGUCUCUCUCUCUCUCUCUCUCUCUCUCUCUCUCUCUCUCUCUCUCUCUCUCUCUCUCUCUCUUAUUCUUUAACAGUAACCUGGUACUUUUCAUCUUUAUGUUACACCAUUUUUUUUUAAAAAGACCAUGGGGAUAUUGUAUAGCCCCAAAAAAACAAUAGAUUUACUUUUAUAUGAAUAUAUAUGUUGAAUGUUCUUAACAGCAUAGAGAUAGUUAUGUUACUAUUCAUCAUCAUACCCUAAAGAUUGCAUCACGUAUAAAGUGAAGUAGAAAAACGGCAUUAUUAUGAACACAAGCGAUGCCGAAUGGUAAUUCUCAGUGGCGGUUUCAGAAAAUAUUUAAUGGGGUCAUAAUUUAAAUAAAAUAUUAUUAUAUAUUUAAUAUAAUAAAUUUCAAAAAUUCAUAUUAUUUUCACACUUUAAAUAGUGAUAUAAUCAAUAAAACAAACAUACAAAAGUUCAUUGUCGAAUAUAUAUAUAUAUAUAUAUUUAUAACGUCUUUCUUAUUAAUCAAUGAGAGUUUACAUAAUCAUUAUGUAGAUCCGAUGUAAUAGAGGGAGGUACAUAAUAAUGAAAGUAGAAGGAGAAGUCAAAAGGAAUUUGUUGCUUCGCCAUCUUAUCUGCAGCUUUGUUACUCUCUGUUCGUCCAUGUAAACUCCACUUCAUUGAACUUCUGUUUCCACCAUAAAGCAUAUCUUAUCCAGUUAUGACCAUCAAAAUGUAAGCACCGAUGAUUCGGUGUAUCUAUCACUUUUUUGCAAUCACUCUCAAAGAUUACUCUUUGAUAUCCUUUACUCCACACAUGUUGCAUAACCAUUACUAUUUCUUGGACCUCACUUUCAAACGAAUUGUUAACUCUUCUUCCCAUCCCUUGUGCAGCCCCUUUGUAGUAUUCAUCUUCAUCUCGUAGUAUCCACCCAUUCUUGGUGUUUGCGAGUUAAUAAAUGAACUAUCAACAUUACAUUUCAGCCAACCCCUCUUUGGCUGUUUCCAGUGGUUGCUUCCAUAUCGCAUUUGGUCUCUAUGUUGGAAUUUCUUUGUAGCAUUAUCCUUCCACUCCUGAGCAUCUCUUCGUGCUUGAUGCAAUACCCAUCUCCAGUCUAUAUGCUUUCUUUGAAAUAUAAGAAUGUUGCGGUUUUUCCAUAGUCUCCACAUGAUACAGAAUGGGAGGUUUUGAAAAUGAGCUAAUCUUGUGUGUAGACAGCAUUGUAGACACACUUCAAUUUUCUCUUCCAGGGAAGCUAAAGGAUCAGUAAGUAUUCUAUUAUCUGUCCCUGAUUCCCGCCAUACUGCUUGGGCAUACGGACAAUCAAACAGCAGAUGCUUCUCAGUUUGUGGUUCUUGACAACACCUUCUACAAAGGUCAUCAGUAGUAAUGUGUCUCCUCUUUAGAUUGCUUCCAGUGGCUAGACUCCGUGAUAAUGAUCUCCAAAGAAAAUGAUGGAGUUUUGGUGGCAUUUUAGUCUUCCAUAGUCUUCUUUUGAGGUCGAUAUUACCGAAUGUUGGUUGAAUCCCUUCUUCCGUUGAGAGGUGAGUACUCAACCAGUAGCCAGACUUUACUGUGUAGAGGCCAUGCUCAGUAUAUUGCCAACCAAGCAUAUCAAAAGUUGCAAAGUUCGAGGUUUUUAUGGUUGUUUUCUCUUACAAAAACUAAAGAACCAAUUUUAAAAAGUCAAAUUAAAUGUAUGGUCUUAGAGUGACUUAAACGCAUGUUAGAGAAGUUAAUCUUACAAUACUAAAAGGGCAUAAUACUCAAAGGAGAGGCAUGCCACAUCAUUUUAAAAAUCGUCCAAUAUGAGCUUCCCAUUUCGCCACGUCACAUAGCUUGGUCUAUUGAAAAGAGUAACUGGGCUUCACGUUUGUCUCUUAAAAAUAAAUCAUGUCCCAUUAUCCAGUCCAGUUUCAAAAACCUCCUCUCCUAUCAAUCGAUGAAUCCGACUCUUCAUUCCUCUUCCCCAUCUCCGUUCCCAGCAAUCACCGUUACCGCGAAUCCCCUUCUCAUCAAUCAAUGUUCCUCUUUAAUCUCUUCUUGAUGGUUUUGUUCCACCUCCCGUUGAUCUUCCUCUUAUAUAAGUCGCUUCAUCUAAACCUAAAUAUAGACAAAACCUAAAACCUCCCCUUACAAAACUACAUCUACGGCGAUGGAAUGGAGGUAGUAUAAUAUCUUCAUGUAGACAUAUAACACAGUUUAUACUGCAUGGAUUUUGUUGUCCCUCUUCAACUUCCUACCUCUGAACGAGCGAUUCCUCACACCCACACAACAAGCACAAGUGGCUACAAAGAACUGUCAUCGGAACACAUUUUCCAUCGGUAUAUGAGAACAUUGUGUUAUCCACUCAUUGAUUUGUGUCUCUCUGUGUUAUGUUCUGAUUUUUUUUUCCUAUCUUUUUUAACGCUCAUUCGGCAUAAAUUUUUGGCAUAAUUUCUAAUGUUUUCUUUACAGCCAAGAAAUCAUGGCAAGCUGAAGCUCGGCUCUUACGAGAUUACUAUGUUUCUUGGUGCUUGCUUAUAUUGGUUCUUUUUCUUUAGAUCAGUUGUGGCUUUCAAAUAUAGAUGAGUGUUGCCUAAUGUUUUUUACCUAGACGAACUUAGCUGAAGCUAUUGGUGCUUCCUUCCUUCCGUCAAUAGAUGGUUACAUGUUUAUUAAAGGUGUGUACGCAUCUCUGACUAUACUUAGGACAUAGAUAUCAUAGGGAUCAGUACAUCUACUACAAAUUUUAGACUUUCUCUAACCCAUCUUUCUUCCGUAUGGUUUAUUGGGUAAGUAAAAUGUAGAGUAGUGCAGAAAGAAUAGGAAAAUAUGAAUAAUAUUUUAGUGUUUGUAAAUCCUUUUUUAAUCUCUAUCUGCUUUUCAGAUUAUGACCGAGGAGAUUAAAACCGGUGCAUGUCUAAUUGUCUAUGGAUUACCAAGCACAUGAGUUUAGAGUAUUGGCCAACUCCAGUGGUACAUGCAUAGUACAUGGUGGGUUCAAGUACUUGGAGUAUUUGCUCUUAUCUCUCAGUUUCCUUAGCCAGUUAGUACAAAUGACUACCAACAUUGUCAUAGACAUGUGGUGAAGCUAAGCCAACGUGAGUGUGAUCAAUAAACAAAAUCGUUUUGGUUUUCUGUCUCUUCGCUAUCAUUUUUUGUCAUUAUUUGGUUGAUUUUACUGCUGAUCACAUCUGUUUUGCCAGUAAGUUUACAAUUUAUUAUGUACACACAAAAUUUUCCAUGUGUUACUCUCAUUCGUCAAAUCAUUAAUAUUUGGGCUGCAUUGUUUUUAUUGAUGUUGUUUACUAUUUUAUAGUGUCAGAGGAGAUACAUGGAUACACCAACCAGCAACGUUUGUGUCAUCAGGUACCACAUGAAUAUGAACUGAUUUGAUAUUUGCUUUCAGAAACAUAAAAUAAAUAGCUAAAACAAAAAAAAAAAUAUCUUCCAUGUGUUACUCUCAUUAAGCAUUGUCAUUUCUGACUAGCUAAUAUCCACAUACAACAAUCAUGUCAUUGGUUCUUUACAAGAUCUGGUCUUUCUUAAAAGUUUAGUUGCAUCUAUACUACAAUAAAUACAUAUGGUCUGAAUUAGCUGAAGAUGAUGAUAUAACUGAUUAUUACUUAUUUGCUUGGUUUCUAACAAUUUUGUUACUGAGCCUCAUUCUUAGAUUAUGCAUUGUAAAAACACUUAACUCAACACCAUUGGUCUCCUUUUCCGGAAAGAAUACUGAUGAUGUUCCAUGAAACAUUAGUAAAGCAAGAAAAACUAUCACUAUAAUCAGAACUUAUAUUGAUCAAUUUCUUAAUUCCUACAUAUAUAUUCUUUGUUGCAGUUUUUCUUACCAUUUGAGAUUUUUCUUUGUUGGGAAUAGAUUCAACUUUAAGCUUAUGUUGUGCAGAGACGCAACUUAAGCUUAUGUUGUGCAGAUUACUCGCACAAUAUACUUAUGGCCUUAAUAUGCAGCAUUUUGUUUCCAACAAGAUGAGAGUCUACAUUGGCAAUAGAGAGACCAGGAAGAGAGUCAUACAUUGGCAGUAGAGAGGAAUAUGAAAACGAGUUGGUGGACGCUAAAAGAGAUUGCCAUGUUUUACAUGAAGUCUAUUUUCAUGAAAUAUGGCAAUAACAGGAGGGGUGUCCUUUGGAUUUGUGUUUUUGGACGAGUACAUAGCAAAUGAGGAAGUAUGGCGUUUUUUCUUUGAAUUUUUUCGAAGAGCUCUUGGUCAAAUGGUGUGAACACUUAUCUUGAUUCUUUUGCCACCUAAUCUAUGCUACGUGCGAACUUCCUUCUUUAAGUUUGUCAUGACAUCAAAUAAUAGCAUAAAACUAAUUUAUUGACAACAAACAGUUUAAUUAUAAAUUAAUUUAUUAAAAUAUUAUUAAAAGACAUUUGAACAUUUAACUAAAGAAAUAGCAUAACAAACUAUGAAAGUAUUACCUAUUUACAAUUUAAACCUUCAAACUUUUUGGCUAGCACUUUUAACUUUCAUAUUAACAUUUACAUCAUUAAAAACCUUCAAUCUAAUUUAUUUAUUUAUCAAGUAAAAAAUUGACAUGUUGUACACGUAGAAAUGAUGAUGUGUCAGUUAUUUUCCAAAAAUAAUAUUUAAUUAUAAAAUAAAUAAAACUAAAUAAAAAUUUAGAAAAUUAAAUAAAAAUCAGAAAACUAAACAAAAAUUAAGAAAAUUAAAAAAAAUAAUUAAAAAUCAGAUAAUUAAAUUAAAAUCCGGAAAUUAAAUUAAAAUCAGAAAAUAAAUAAAAUUAAAAUUAAAAUACAUAAAAUAUAAUAAAUGAAAAAUUCAGAAAAUUCAUAAAAAUUAGAAAAUUCUAAAAAAUUCUAAAAAAUUCUAAAAAUCAAAAUAUAAUUUUAAUUAAAAAAUAUUUCUUUAAAAUUACAAGAUUGAUUUAAAAAACUGACAUAUUAUCAUCAUUGACAAUAAAAAUUUCCAACAUAUCAAUGUUGAAAAUGAUGGUUUCUCACAUAACAAUUAACAAUGAUGGUUUUUGACAUAUAUUUAACGAUAAUUUUUGACAUCAUCGUUUAAAAUGAAGGUAGAUAUGUCAAUAACACGACAUUUUUAACAACCAUCAUUAUUAACAUAAUAAUAUAAUUAUUACUUUGAAUUUUUUAUGUGAGUUUUGAUAUUCGAAAACUAAAUAUUUAUAAACUAAGAAUAUUAAUUUUAUGUUUGAAAUUUUUGAGGGGGAAAACUAAGAAUAUAUUUCUGAAUAUUAAUUACUAAAACAAUAAAUUAUAAUGUAAUUUAUCAGCUCUAAACGAAUGAAUAAACUAAACUUAUCAACAUCGUGUUAAUGUCAAAAAUUUCUGCUUAUUCAAAUGAAGUCCAUCAACAAAAACAAGUAAAAUGCGAUGAGAAACUAUCACAUACCAUUUUUUGUCAAAGAGAAUUAUUAUUUAUGUAAAACAAUUAAUUAUUUUUAUAAAAUUUAAAAAGAUAUAUAUAAAUAAUUAAUCCUCACAAAGCGUGGUCACAGAUCUAGUAGAGGAUAAUUACACCAAAUGUGGCAUUGAAUUUAGAUGAACUAAGCCUACUAAUUUGAUUUCUGAUAUUUAACUAGAUUUGGCUGAUCAUCCUCCUCUACAUGUGGGUCCGCCCCUACUUCCUUCACACUUCUUUUUAACCUAUCCUAUAAAAUAUGAAAUCUCAUGAGUUUUUAUAUGAGAAUUACUAGGGGCGGAUCCACGUGUAGAGAAAGAGGGUUAGUUGAUCAUGUAGAGGAAGGGGGUCAACUGACCUGAUUAAAUAUCAGAAAUCAAGUUAGAUUUUGGAUUUAAAUCCACUUUCUGACCCUUAAAUUUAAUUUUACUAAGUUGAUGAUUGUUUGAAUGGUUUUUGCAAUUUAGUUUUUCGUUUUAGAUUAUAGAUUUUGGUUUUUCAUUUUGCAGUAGAUUUUAGUUUUUUUGAAAAUCAUGAAUUGUUGUUUUAGAUCUGGUUUUUGUUUUUAGAUUUUUGUUUUUCAAAAUAAAAUAAGUUAUUAAAAUAAAAUAUUUAUUUUAAAAACAAAAAAAUAUGAUUAUUAUCACUAUAAAUAAAUAAAUUAUAGCAAUCUUAAUUUAAAUUAAAUUAUAAAAUGAAAAUAAUAGCUAUAAUUUAAAUUAUAUUUAUUUUAUAUCUCCCGGAAAAAAACAAUUAAUAGUUAAGAUUUAAAACUGACUACAUAUCAAUAAUUGGAUCUAAAAGUACAAUUCAUUCUAAAAUUAAUAAUUAGAUUUUAUAAAAAAUAUUUAUAUAAUCAUAUUUUUUAAAUGGUAAAAUGACAUAAUAUUUAUGUAAUUCAAAUAUUUUAACAUAAAAAUUAAUAGCUAUAUUUUAAAUAAAAGCAAAAUUACAGUGUAAUAAAUGUAUAAGAAUUAUAACUAAAAGUUUAAUUAACUUAAAUUUUAGUAUAUGAUAUUAACUAAAUAAUUAUAAAAUGGAAAAAUUUCAAGUUUACCACUAGUACCAUUAUUCAUCUUUACCAUCACUAAAGAGAUAUUUUCAAAAAUAAAUUUUUCAUUAAGUAGCAAAAGACUUUUAUACCAUUGUUUUAAGACUAUUUAUAUAUAUAAUAAAUAAUUAUUUAAUUAAAUUAAAAAUAAGUAAAUAAAAAUAAAAAUAAAUUAUUAUGUUUUUGGAAUUAUAUUUUUCAAAUUCGAACUUUUUAUAAAUUUUUUUUGAGUUUUGUUUAUUUUGAAAUUUUUUUUUCAAAAUUUCUUUUUGAAAAUCGAAAAAUUAUGUUUGAAACUAUUUUUUAAUUAUAUUUUUAAGUAUUUAUUUAUAUAUUUAUUAUAAUCCUAAAUUUUACAUUCCAAAAAUCAAUGUUUUGAAAACCGGACCGGAUACCGACUCGGUAUAGCUACCGAUUGACUGGUUUGACCGGUUUGACCGGUUCAACCGGUUUGACCGGUUCAACCGGUUGGACCGGUCGAACCGGGUUUUCUGUUUUUAAGAAUUAAAUAUAUAUUAAUAUUUAUUUACACCAUAUAAACCUAAAACAAGGUGAAAUUUGAUGUUUACCACUUUCAAGAUACCACUUUCAAAGUACCACUUUCAAGGUAUGACUUUUCAUCUUUACCACCACUAAAAGUACAUUUUCAAAAAUACUUUCCUCACUAAGUGACAAAAGACUCUUAUAUCCUUGUUAUCUAUAAAUAUGACAAAACAUUAUUUAAAUAAAUAAAAAAUAAAAAACUAAAAAAAUUAAUUUUUUUUAUGUUUUCGAAUUAUACUUUUUCAAAUUCGAACUUUUUAUAAUUUGUUUUUUAAAUUUUGUUUUUGAAUUUUUUUUUUUUUUUCAAAAUUUCUUUUCGAAAAUCGAAAAUAUGUUUGAAACUAUUUUUUUUUUUAAUUUAUAUUUUUUUAUAUUUAUUAGAAUCCUAAAUUUCACAUUCCAAAAAUCCUACCUCACUCUUCAACUCUAAAAUCUAGGUCUAUAUUAGUUAACCCUAGAUGUAUAAAUGUCUUUUUACCCUUCAUUAAAAGUGAAGGUAAAAGUGAUUAGGGUACACAUCAAAAGUGGUACUAUGAAUGUGGUACUAUGAAUGUGGUAUUUGUGGAAAUUUUCCCUAAAAAAAAGCUGCUCCUUUAUUUACAAAAAUAAACAAUAAACAUAAAUUUAGCUAUAUACACGAUAAAGUGAACUCUAUGUAAACUGAAAUUGAUAAAACCAAAUGCUUGACCGUUCAGAUUAUGAUAUUUCUUUAUUUUUACAAUUAAAUUUUAAUUUUUAUAAGUAUGGCAAAAUAAGAAUAGUACUAGAUUCUGAUCCGCCCUUGAAAAGGCGGCUAUAUUUUUUGUUUUGUUUUUGAAAUUUUUAAUUUUUAUAUUGUAAUUUUUAAUCAUUGUUGUGUUUAUUAUUAAUCUAAUUUAAUAUAUUUUUGGUAAAUAAAUUAAAUAUAUCAAGUUGCAUAACUAUAUACAUGUGUUUCAGAAAAUGAACUUUAAACUUUAUUCUUGAAGUUUGCAAUAUAUUAUAUUUUCUUAAUAAUUACCUAAUAUAAUUAAUCAAAAAUAUUCGUACCCAAAAAAACCUAACUCGGAAUCAAUACACGUGGCCUAUAUAAUCGAACAGUUCUUAAAAUGUUAUAUCCGAAAAAAUAUCAAACCCCAACCCGUACCGUAACAAAAAAAUUGAAAAAUGUUUGAAAAAAUAUCGAACGGUUAUAGCUUAUAUUAUUGGUAAACUGCAUAUUGAUUACGAACGGUUACAUUAGGGUAAUAGUCAAUAAAUAUAUGAAAAACAAAGUAUAUAUAUGACAGUAAACAUAUGUUUAAUUAUUAACAGGACAUAUAUUUAGGGUUAUAUGAACAGGCGGUUAUAUUAGAAAUUAUCAAGGAAAGUAUGGCGGCCACUAAACACAUUAUAUAUCCACGAUCAAACAAAAAUGUAUCAUAUUAGUUGUAAAAAGAGCAGACAGUUAAUUAGGAGCAAACAGAUACGUAAAAGUGAUAUAUACAUUUUGAUUUAUCUUUAAAUAAAAAAAAUAGUUGGACCAACUAAUAUCAACCGGACAUGUUCCUAAUUUAAUAGUAUUGAUAUGAGAUCUAAAAAUAUUUUUUACAUCAUUUCUUAUGAAAUAAAAUUUAAAAAACUAAUUAAAUAUUGAUAGUCAAACGUUGAUUUUGAAAUACUAAUUAAAUUUUAAUAACAACUGAAAGCACAUUAAUUAUAUGUUAAUAUUUUAGAACCGGGUUUUGAAGUUGACCCGGGUCACUGGGUUUACUAGUUUUUUGUCGGUUUUACUGGUUUUGUUCAUAUUCGGGUUUCAAAUCAAACCGGACUCGGCUUCUUCAACGAGUUACGGUCGGACUGGUUCGACCGGCCGGUAUGGUCCGGUUUUCAAAACCAUGCCAAAAGCCCUACUCCACCCCUCAACCCUAAAGCUAGAUUAGUUAACUUUAGAGGUACAAAUAUUUUUUACCUUUUAUUAAAAAAGAAUGUAAAAGUGGUUAGCUUAAACAUGAAAAAUGGUAAUAUGAAUGUGGUAUUUUUGACAAUUUUCCUAAAAUUAAUCUAUUUAAACAUAACUCCAACAAAUUAAUUCGUAGAGAAGAUUAUUAAUAUUUUGUUUUAUUCAUGUCUUUUGGUAGAAUAUAUGUAUCUUUAGUAGAGCUUUACUAAAAAAUAUUUUUUACAAAAGUAAUUUUUUUAAAAAAUAAAAGUAUAUUUUAAAUAAUUAAUUACUUUUAUUUAUUAAAAAUAAAAAGUUAUUAAUAUAUAUUAUUUUCAUAUUAUGUAUGUUAUGCAAAUGAUUCUUACUAAACUUUACAUAUAAGUAUAUUUUAAUGCAUGAGUAUAGUAAAAACAUUUUUUUCUAAAAAAAAAGAAGAAAAAGAAGAUUGAAACCAACGUAAUUUAUUUUUGAAAAAAACCAUGAAAACUUUGCUUUUGGUUUCGGUGUGAAAAAAAAAAUUAUUGGAAAAAACUAGUUUCUCUACAUUUUAGGGAAUUUAUUCUUUAAAAAUCUUGAUUGAAUGAAAAAUAGUUUUUGGAAAACCAAAAACCAAAAAAUAAUUCAAAAACUACAAACAUUGAUCCUCUAAAUUUGUUCUUUAGUUUUUGUAGGUUACGUUUCCUUCUUUCUAUACCGCAUCUGACACAUAUUUUUCUUUCAUUUUUCUCCAAAAUUAAAACAUCAUUUAUUGUUCUUGUAAUUUGUUUUUUCUUUUGCAGAUAUGCUUCAAUAAAUUAUACUUUCUCUUGUUAUUUUUCCACCUCACCAAAACUUCACUUGAAAAAAUUCAAAACUACUUAUUUCUUCACUACCACUAUCAUUUUUAUUUACUUUUUUAUUUUGUUGGUACAUUUUUUAUAUAAUAACAAUCCAAAUACAUGUUUAAUAAUUUGAGACAAUGAACUUUUGUAUGUUUAUUUUAUUGAUUAUAUCAUCAUUUAAAGUGUGAUAAUAAUAUAUAUUUUGAAAUUUAUUAUAUUAAAUAUAUAAUAGUAUUUUUUUAAAAAUUAUUAUCCCGCUUAAAUUAUUUUCUAAAUCCGCCACUAAGCUGCACCGAUUAAAUAUCAUAAAUCAAAUUAAUAGACCUAGUUCGCCUAAAUUCAAUGGCACAUUUAGUGUAAAUAUCAUCUGUUGACCCCUUUAACAUGCGUUCAAGUCCACUCUCUGAUCCCUACAUUUAAUUUUACUUUUUAAAAUUGGUUAUUUAAUUUUUGUAGGUUACGUUUCCUUUUUUGUAUAAAGUAUCAGCCAUAUAGUUUUUCUUUCCUUUUUCACCAAAAUUAAAAUAUCAAUUAUUGUCUUGUAAUUUGUUUUACUUUUGCAGAUAUGCUUCCAUAAAUUAUUUUUUCUUCUUGUUAUUUUUUGCCUCAUGAAAACCUCACUUCACAAAAUUCAAAGCUACUUAUUUCUUCAUUACCAAUAUCAUUUUUUUUGUACAAAUUUUUAUAUUAUAACAAUCAAAUGCAUGUUUAAUAAUCUUAGACAGUGAACUUUUGUAUAUUUAUUUAAUUGAGAUUAUCAUCAUUUAGAGUAUGAUAAUAAUAUAUAUUUCUGAAAAUUAUUAUGUUAAAUAUAUAAUAAUAUUUUAUUUAAAUUAUAAGCGCAGUUAAAUUAUUUUCUGAAUCUGUCACUGAGUGUUUAAAUAUCAGAAAUCAAGUUAGUAGGCCUAGUUCACCUGAAUUCAAUGACACAUUUGGUGUAAAUAUCAUCUGUUGACCCCUUUAACAUGCGUUCAAGUCCACUCUCUGACCCCUACAUUUAAUUUUACUUUUUAAAAUUGGUUAUUUAAUUUUUGUAGGUUACGUUUCCUUUUUUGUAUAAAGUAUCAGCCGUAUAGUUUUUCUUUUCUUUUUCACCAAAAUUAAAAAAUCAAUUAUUGUCUUGUAAUUUGUUUUACUUUUGCAGAUAUGCUUCCAUAAAUUAUUUUUUCUUCUUGUUAUAUUUCACCUCAUAAAAACCUCACUAGGAAAAAUUCAAAGCUACUUAUUUCUUCAUUACCAAUAUCAUUUUUUUCUACAAUUUUUUUAUAUAAUAACAAUCAAAUGCAUGUUUAAUAAUCUUAGACAGUGAACUUUUGUAUAUUUAUUUUAUUGAGAUUAUCAUCAUUUAGAGUGUGAUAAUAAUAUAUAUUUCAGAAAUUUAUUAUUUUAAAUAUAUAAUAAUAUUUAAUUUAAAUUAUAACUGCAGUUAAAUUAUUUUCUGAAUUUGCCACUGAUGUUUAAAUAUCAGAAAUCAAGUUAGCAGGCCCAGUUCACCUGAAUUCAAUGACACAUUUGGUGUAAAUAUCCUCUUUUGACUCUUUUAACAUGUGUUUAAGUCCACUCUCUGACCCAUACAUUUAAUUUUACUUUUUAAAAUCGGUUAUAUAGUUUUUGUAGUUUUUUUAUAUAACCAUAGUGUGAUCCCAAAGGUUUUCUACGCUCAAGGACUAAUCACCACCAGAUCCAUAGAAAUCCAUGUUUUCUUGCCACUUAACGUGUCUAUGGGUGGCCAAGGAGAACCAAGGGCGGAAGCUCCAGCCGGAGCCCAGAGCGGAAGCUCCAGCCAGCCGGAGCCCAGAGCGGAAGCUCCAGCCAGCCGGAGCCCAGAGCGGAAGCUCCAGCCAGCCGGAGCCCAGAGCGGAAGCUCCAGCCAGCCGGAGCCCAGAGCGGAAGCUCCAGCCAGCCGGAGCCCAGAGCGGAAGCUCCAGCCAGCCGGAGCCCAGAGCGGAAGCUCCAGCCAGCCGGAGCCCAUGACAGAAGCUCUAACCGGAACUCUUUUAUCACUAGGCCAAGACCACUUGCUUACGUUUUUGUAGGUUAUGUUUCCUUUUUUUUUGUAUAAAGUAUCUGCCAUAUAGUUUAAUAAUUUAACUUAUUUCUUUCCUUUUUCACCAAAACUAAAACAUCUUUUAUUGUUCUUGUAAUUUGUUUUACUUUUUGCAGAUAUGCUUCUAUAAAAAAAAAAUCUUGUUAUGUUUUCGCCCCACCAAAACCUCACUUGACAAAAUUCAAAACUACUUAUUUCUUCAUUACCACUAUCAUUUUGAUUUACUUUUUAUUUUUUGGUACAACUUUUUAUAUAAUAACAAUCAAAUGCAUGUUUAAUCAUUUUAGACAACGAACUUUGUAUGUUUAUUUUAUUGAGAUUAUCAUCAUUUCAAGUGUGAUAAUAAUAUAUAUUUUGAAUUUAUUUUAUUAAAUAUAUAAUAAUAUUUUAUUUAAAUUAUGACUCCAGUUAAAUUAUUUUUCUGAAUCUGUCAUUGAACUGCCACAAUUAAAUAUCAGAAAUCAAGUUAGUGGGUUUAGUUCACUUAAAUUCAGUGGCACAUUUGGUGUAAAUAUCCUUUAUUGCCCCCCUAACAUGCGUUAAAGUCCACUCUCUGACCCAAACAUUUAAUCUAUACUAUUAAAGCAAAAUUACUAUUAAGAUUUUGCCCUUAAUUUUUAAAGUUAUUUACAAGAGAAUGUCACUCCUAAAUUUAUGCUAUAUACGGGUUAUAUAGAAAUCGUCGGAUUUUUUGUUCGACCACAGAUCUAAGCCGGAUAUGGAAACACUGCUUGAAACUCAAAACAACUUUCAUUUUUUUUUAUAAAAAAUUAUAAAUUCAUACAUAUUUUAUCAAAACUAUCACCAGAAAAUUGGUUAUUUAGUUUUUGUAGGUUACGUUUCUUUUUUGUAUAAAGUAUCUGCCACAUAUUUUUUUCUUUCGUUUUUUACUAAAAUUAAAACAUCGUUUAUUAUUGUUCCUGUAAUUUGUUUUAUUUCUUGCAGAUAUGCUUCGACAAAUUAUUUUUUCUUCUUGUUAUAUUUUCACCUCACCAAAACCUCAUUUGACAAUAUUCAAAACUACUUAUUUCUUCUUUACCACUAUCAAUUUUAUUUUUUGGUACAAUUUUUUAUAUAAUAACAAUCAAAUGCAUGUUUAAUAAUCUUAGACAAUGAAUUUUUAUAUGUUUAUUAUAUUGAUUAUAUCAUCAUUUAAAGUGUGAUAAUAAUAUUUUUUUAAAAAAAUUUAUUAUAUUAAAUAUAUAAUAUCAUUUUAUUUAAUUAUGUCCCCGGGUAAAUUAUCUUCUGAAUUCGCCACUGGAAGGAAAUUAGAGAUAUGGAUUAGGACCACUAGGAGAAGUAGUAGCAACAAAGUUCCAAACGACAAGUAGUGAGUGCAAAGAAAAUAUCUAUACACCGUAUGGAAAAAAAUGAUCUCAUAAAGCAACGUAGAUGGUAUCAUGUCGUAGCGAUAUCUGGGUAAAUCAUUUCGUUAUUAAUGUUAUCUUUAUCGAUGUAUCUAAGCCAGGAUUAUCUAAAUGUGUUAGAAGGAUUUGUACCACUGCGACAUGAUACCAUCCAGGUUGUAUCCAAACCAUAAGAGUCCACGAAACAACUAGACAUCCAAUAAUUGGAGAGUGGGAUCUUGUAGGCAUUUUUUGUUCCCUUCGGAGCCAUACAGAAAGAGAUCAUAUUUUCAGUAGCAAGCAUCUUUCAAACGACGACAAGGCAGAUCCGUCAAAUCACAUAGCAGUUAAUCUAGCCUAGUUUAAUGUCAUAAUAAUUGUACACUGUUCAUGCUUCUUUAGUAUAUACUCACUCUGUUGUAUUUUAAUUAUCAUUUUAGAUUUAAACGCACAGAUUAAAAAUAUAUUUAAUUUUGUAUAUUUACUAAAAGAAAACAAUAUUACCAAUACAAGUAACCACAUUUUAACCAAUAGAAAAAUAGAUUAAAAUAUAAAGUCAAUAAAUUUUGCGUUGAAACUAUAAAAUGACACUUAUUAUGAAACAAAUUUUUUACUCUAAAACGACAUUUAAAUUGAAACAGAAAAAUAUAGUUUGAUACUUAUCCUAAUUCAAGUAAGACAUGCUUGAUGAUUUGUGUGAUUAACCUCUGUUUAUCUAUAAUUGAAUAUUUAAGAUAAAAUCUAAAAGAUAUACACAUUUAUUUGGAUUGAAAUCUGAUGAUCUAUUACUAAAUUUUACUGUUAAUACUGCUAAUAUUCCUAGAUUUUAUUUGCCUCAAAUCAUUACUUCCCCGAUAAUGUCAAGAUCCUAUCCUGUAAUGUUCCCAGUGUAUUUUCUCAUCCAUGACCUUCAAAUUCAGAUUGACAUUUAUCCAAAACUACCAAUCAUAUCAAUUUCAUCCCAAACAAACAAGGAAUUUGAAACUUUUUUUAUCACAUAAAAAGGAAAUAGAAUCAAAUAAAUAAACUUAAAAGGCAAGGAAUCUUCGUAUUUAGUUAAUAGAAUAUAAAUUUCCCGAAUUAGUCAAAAGCUUUAAAAAUAAAAGUGUUAUCCACGUCAGCACUUACAACUAUUAUAUAAUGCUCCCGCCAAUUGCCAAAUCCCAAACAUUCAGACCACCCAAAAAAAUCAUGAACUCGACUCUAGUCUUCUUCUCGUUCUUCCUCAUCUCUCUCUUCUGCUUAUCAGCUUUAGCUGAGACCUCUCAAGCUUCUGAUGGCUCCACCAUCUUGUUCACGACGAUGGGUAGCUCCACUUUCGAGUUCGACAUCUUCACCCUCCACACCAGCCGUCGUCCUCCAUCUCCUUCCGAUGAGCACCGUCUCACCGACGGAAAAUCAAUCAACUUUAACGGCCACUUAGCGUCUCCUUCCCCGGCGCUAAUCUCCCUUCUUCCCAAUACAUCCGGGGUCCAACCACAAGACAAGACUCUUCUCCAUCUCAUCUACGUCACCGAGAGAGACGGCGCGCCUACCUUACACUACGACGUCGUUCACAGCGAUAAUAAAGGAACCAACGUUCAAGUCCCGUUACUGUCAGAGCAACAGAGUGGCAUGAGUGUAAACUCGAUGAAAGACACUCCUGUCUUAACCAACGAGCAUCUUGUCUACGUGUCGACUCACGAGAACUCCGGUAAGCCCAUGGCGAGUUGGGCCGCAGUCUACUCCACCGAGUUAAUAACUAAAGCGACUCAGCGUCUAACGCCUCCCGGAAUCGCUGAUUUCUCUCCGGCCGUGUCUCCGUCGGGGAAGUGGACCGCCGUGGCUUCCUACGGGGAGAAAGGUUGGAGUAUUGUGUCGAAGGAGCUUAGCACGGACAUCUACGUUUUCCUGACUGGAGACGGGACUCAGCGAGUCAAGGUGGUCGAGCUUGGAGGAUGGCCGAGAUGGACCGACGAGUCGACUCUUUAUUUCCACCGCAAAAGCGACGACGGUUGGAUCAGCGUGUACCGUGCGGUUUUACCCAAAACCGGACCGGUUUCAACCAAAACCGUAACGGUUACCCGAGUCACACCUUCUGGUAUUCACGCGUUCACACCAGCCACGUCACCAAACAACAACGACUUCAUCGCUGUUGCGACGAGGAGGCCCGAAUCGGAGAUCCGCCACGUGGAGCUUUUCGAUUUAAAGAAAAACGAGUUCGUCGAGCUGACUCGUCUCGUGUCUCCGAAGAGUCACCAUUUCAACCCGUUUCUUUCCCCUGACUCGUCCCGAGUCGGGUACCAUAGCUGCAGAGGCGACAGAACGAAUCCUCACAAUCUCCUCCAGAGGCUCAAAACCACUUCGGAGGAUCUAUCUCUCUUCAGAUUCGACGGCGCGUUCCCGUCUCUCUCCCCCGAAGGCAAUCGUUUCGCGUUCGUCACGUUCACGGGAGUUUUCGUAGUGAACCAAGACGGUUCCGGUCUACGCCAGAUUCUCCCGCAGGUUGGAUUUGGAACGGUUUGGGAUCCGGUUCGACGCGGGAUCGUGUACACAAGCUCAGAUCCCAGUCUUAAUUUCACAGCUCCCGGCUUAGUAGGGACACAUAAAAUCAAUAUCCUCGCCGUUAACGUCGACGCACGAAACCCUUCAUCCGCCGUUAAAAAACUAACGACUGGCGGCCAAAACAACGCCUUCCCGUGGCCAUCACCCGACGGUAAACGCAUCGUGUUCCGGUCUGACCGCUCCGGUACGAAAAACCUUUACAUUAUGGACGCGGAGAAAGGUGAAGCCGGUGGUUUGUUCAGACUAACCAACGGUAACUGGAACGAUACGAUAGCCACUUGGUCUCCAGACAAUAACUGGAUCGUGUUCGCAUCGAACCGGGAAUAUAUUGGUACGUUGUUGAUGGAUUUGUAUGUGGUUCACCCGGACGGGACCGGUUUAAGGAAGGUGGCGCAAAACUUGACCGGUGGAGUUUCCAUGCAUCCCAUGUUUAGUCCAGAUAGUAAAAGAAUCGUGUUCACUACUACUUACGCUGGUAUCUCAGCAGAGCCUAUUGGUAAUCCGAAGUUUAACGUCGCGAGUAGUGAGAUUUUUACUGUGAAUUUGGAUGGUUCUGAUUUCAUGAGGCUCACGCACAACUCGGUUGAAGAUGGUCCGCCUCUGUGGUUUCCGAAGAUCAAAGCUACUGGUGAUGUAGCAUGGCCCAAGAGGUUUGGGGCUAGCUGCGCUUUUGAAGAUUUCAAGUCGCAGAAUACGACCGUGAAAAUGAAUAAGCGGUCAUUGAUGUGUCCCUCACAAUAGUUUGUUAUUUAAUAACUUACUGUUUGAGUUGAUAACUUUGUUAUAGUGAUAUCUUAUAAAUGUAUUGGAAAUGAAUAAGGAAUAAUAUAGUAUUGUACUUUAGAUUUCUUGAUAUCUUUCGGUGGUAAAUUUAUGAAAGAAUGGCAAUACAUUUUCAAAAACUAGCUAGAAACAUUUCAUGAGAAUUUGAUUAAUUUUCUCGUAUCCAUUAAACUAAAAGUCUGAGGUAGGGAUCAUAGUUACCUCAAACCGCUGGAUAUGUGGAUAGCUAUGAUCUUUGUAUUCAACCGAUACAGAAUGAGAAUAUGUUUAUCAGUAAACUGCGUGGCUGAUAACUGGUUGUUGGGAUAAUGUGCUACAUUUGUAUUAGUGCAUAUGUUCAUUUGGGACGGUGUUAGACUUUUGGCUGUUUUUCUUUAUAAAACUAGCUAUUUAGAAAAAGAAGAUGGAACCAGAGUAUAUUCAAAUUGAUUGUCAUUCUCGUUUACAUUGAUUAUUGUCUUAGAAUGGCUUCUAAUUUCGUAUGUGUAUUUUUAAUGAAACCACAAUAAUAUUCAAAUUCAUAUAUCUUGGUUACAAUUCAAUUAGAUACCCAGUCAUAUAUGGGUAUUGGGUAUCAUCUAGCAUCUUCAGUGAUAGGGAUGCACCGAUGCAAGUUAACCAGCCAAGUCUUGACGUCUUAUACCAAUUGGAUUGGAAAUAAAAUACAAGUCCGAAGGGGUGUCAAACUGAGUUAUAGCUCAUAAACUAGUCCAGUUCAGCUCGAUUUUUCAUGAGCAUGAGAGCUGUUUUUUUUUAGGCUCAUUUAGAAAAUGAGCGUAAUGAUCGAGCUUAAAUUAAAUCACGAGUUAUAUGAACGAUCUUUAAUGAACAUGAACGAACUCAUGAGCUUGGUCGUUUUUAUACUUUAUAUAUAUAUAUAUUUGUGUGUGUGUGAAUUUUAUUUUUCUUAUAUAAGAAAAUAUAGUUUCUAUAUAAAUCAUAUCUAUCUUCUAAUUAAAAUUAAAAUGUAAAAUCAAAAAGCUUUAAAUACAUAUAAGAAUGUAAAAUAAUAUUGAUAUCAAUCCUCAUAUCAUAUAUCUUUAGAAUUAAAAUGUAAAACAAAAUAUUCCUAAGACUCUCAUGUGGAAUAUAUAUGCAACGUAGAUGGUAUCAUGUCGUAGCGAUAUCUGGGUAAAUCAUUUCGUUAUUAAUGUUAUCUUUAUCGAUGUAUCUAAGCCAGGAUUAUCUAAAUGUGUUAGAAGGAUUUGUACCACUGCGACAUGAUACCAUCCAGGUUGUAUCCAAACCAUAAGAGUCCACGAAACAACUAGACAUCCAAUAAUUGGAGAGUGGGAUCUUGUAGGCAUUUUUUGUUCCCUUCGGAGCCAUACAGAAAGAGAUCAUAUUUUCAGUAGCAAGCAUCUUUCAAACGACGACAAGGCAGAUCCGUCAAAUCACAUAGCAGUUAAUCUAGCCUAGUUUAAUGUCAUAAUAAUUGUACACUGUUCAUGCUUCUUUAGUAUAUACUCACUCUGUUGUAUUUUAAUUAUCAUUUUAGAUUUAAACGCACAGAUUAAAAAUAUAUUUAAUUUUGUAUAUUUACUAAAAGAAAACAAUAUUACCAAUACAAGUAACCACAUUUUAACCAAUAGAAAAAUAGAUUAAAAUAUAAAGUCAAUAAAUUUUGCGUUGAAACUAUAAAAUGACACUUAUUAUGAAACAAAUUUUUUACUCUAAAACGACAUUUAAAUUGAAACAGAAAAAUAUAGUUUGAUACUUAUCCUAAUUCAAGUAAGACAUGCUUGAUGAUUUGUGUGAUUAACCUCUGUUUAUCUAUAAUUGAAUAUUUAAGAUAAAAUCUAAAAGAUAUACACAUUUAUUUGGAUUGAAAUCUGAUGAUCUAUUACUAAAUUUUACUGUUAAUACUGCUAAUAUUCCUAGAUUUUAUUUGCCUCAAAUCAUUACUUCCCCGAUAAUGUCAAGAUCCUAUCCUGUAAUGUUCCCAGUGUAUUUUCUCAUCCAUGACCUUCAAAUUCAGAUUGACAUUUAUCCAAAACUACCAAUCAUAUCAAUUUCAUCCCAAACAAACAAGGAAUUUGAAACUUUUUUUAUCACAUAAAAAGGAAAUAGAAUCAAAUAAAUAAACUUAAAAGGCAAGGAAUCUUCGUAUUUAGUUAAUAGAAUAUAAAUUUCCCGAAUUAGUCAAAAGCUUUAAAAAUAAAAGUGUUAUCCACGUCAGCACUUACAACUAUUAUAUAAUGCUCCCGCCAAUUGCCAAAUCCCAAACAUUCAGACCACCCAAAAAAAUCAUGAACUCGACUCUAGUCUUCUUCUCGUUCUUCCUCAUCUCUCUCUUCUGCUUAUCAGCUUUAGCUGAGACCUCUCAAGCUUCUGAUGGCUCCACCAUCUUGUUCACGACGAUGGGUAGCUCCACUUUCGAGUUCGACAUCUUCACCCUCCACACCAGCCGUCGUCCUCCAUCUCCUUCCGAUGAGCACCGUCUCACCGACGGAAAAUCAAUCAACUUUAACGGCCACUUAGCGUCUCCUUCCCCGGCGCUAAUCUCCCUUCUUCCCAAUACAUCCGGGGUCCAACCACAAGACAAGACUCUUCUCCAUCUCAUCUACGUCACCGAGAGAGACGGCGCGCCUACCUUACACUACGACGUCGUUCACAGCGAUAAUAAAGGAACCAACGUUCAAGUCCCGUUACUGUCAGAGCAACAGAGUGGCAUGAGUGUAAACUCGAUGAAAGACACUCCUGUCUUAACCAACGAGCAUCUUGUCUACGUGUCGACUCACGAGAACUCCGGUAAGCCCAUGGCGAGUUGGGCCGCAGUCUACUCCACCGAGUUAAUAACUAAAGCGACUCAGCGUCUAACGCCUCCCGGAAUCGCUGAUUUCUCUCCGGCCGUGUCUCCGUCGGGGAAGUGGACCGCCGUGGCUUCCUACGGGGAGAAAGGUUGGAGUAUUGUGUCGAAGGAGCUUAGCACGGACAUCUACGUUUUCCUGACUGGAGACGGGACUCAGCGAGUCAAGGUGGUCGAGCUUGGAGGAUGGCCGAGAUGGACCGACGAGUCGACUCUUUAUUUCCACCGCAAAAGCGACGACGGUUGGAUCAGCGUGUACCGUGCGGUUUUACCCAAAACCGGACCGGUUUCAACCAAAACCGUAACGGUUACCCGAGUCACACCUUCUGGUAUUCACGCGUUCACACCAGCCACGUCACCAAACAACAACGACUUCAUCGCUGUUGCGACGAGGAGGCCCGAAUCGGAGAUCCGCCACGUGGAGCUUUUCGAUUUAAAGAAAAACGAGUUCGUCGAGCUGACUCGUCUCGUGU
rnacentral:lncRNA from 1 species